GGCUUGUAUGCAUGCAUGCAUUUAUCAUGUGCACAUGCUUUGACGUUUAUAUAAAAGGUGCAAUAUGCAGAAAUCGCUCCACCAUUUCCUGGAUACAGAAAUUCAAUUGUGUAGAGAAUUAUUGUACCAUCUAAACCGCUGUGAAAUAUAUUUUCAGCUGUUUGAAGUUCAUUUACAAAACCGAAAGUAAAAAGAGCAAAAGAUGCACUUAACGGGAAGCAUAGGAAUAGAACAGAUCUACGGCUUAGACUAGAUUUCAAUGAGAAAGACAUGAUCUAGAUUUGUCAAUUUGGUCGGGUCACUCAAAAAGUUACAUAUUGCAGCUUACCUGUGGAAUUAUUUGUUACAUUCCUACCUGAAAAAGGACCAACCGCACGGACAACCGGUAAAGUGUCUGCUGCACAUCAAAGGGGCAAAGAAUGGAAUGGUAUCUCUAUGCCUGAACUUCAUUUCCUGACUCUGCUGCUGCCUGGCAAGUAACUCUGGUUGAUGUGUUGGUGCCAUUUGCACCUUUAGGUUUCUCCCUCCACUGCCAAGGUUCUGGCUCUGCUUGGGAGGGGAGGGCACAGUAACCUCAGGACCAAGGCCUUGUCUUCAGUAACAGCCAACAUUAUAGCCCUGGUGGGUAGGAGCUUUGGGCCAGUAGCUGAAAGAU